rnacentral:rRNA from 1 species
GACGAACGCUGGCGGCGUGCUUAACACAUGCCAGUCGAACGGAAAGGCCCUGCUUUUGUGGGGUGCUCGAGUGGCGAACGGGUGAGUAACACGUGAGUAACCUGCCCUUGACUUUGGGAUAACUUCAGGAAACUGGGGCUAAUACCGGAUAGGAGCUCCUGCUGCAUGGUGGGGGUUGGAAAGUUUCGGCGGUUGGGGAUGGACUCGCGGCUUAUCAGCUUGUUGGUGGGGUAGUGGCUUACCAAGGCUUUGACGGGUAGCCGGCCUGAGAGGGUGACCGGCCACAUUGGGACUGAGAUACGGCCCAGAAUCCUACGGGAGGCAGCAGUGGGGAAUAUUGCACAAUGGGCGGAAGCCUGAUGCAGCAACGCCGCGUGCGGGAUGACGGCCUUCGGGUUGUAAACCGCUUUCGCCUGUGACGAAGAGUGAGUGACGGUAAUGGGUAAAGAAGCACCGGCUAACUACGUG